rnacentral:rRNA from 1 species
GACGAACGCUGGCGGCGUGCUUAACACAUGCAAGUCGAACGGAAAGGCCCUGCUUUUGUGGGGUGCUCGAGUGGCGAACGGGUGAGUAACACGUGAGUAACCUGCCCUUGACUUUGGGAUAACUUCAGGAAACUGGGGCUAAUACCGGAUAGGAGCUCCUGCUGCAUGGUGGGGGUUGGAAAGUUUCGGCGGUUGGGGAUGGACUCGCGGCUUAUCAGCUUGUUGGUGGGGUAGUGGCUUACCAAGGCUUUGACGGGUAGCCGGCCUGAGAGGGUGACCGGCCACAUUGGGACUGAGAUCCGGCCCAGCCUCCUACGGGAGGCAGCAGUGGGGAAUAUUGCACAAUGGGCGGAAGCCUGAUGCAGCAACGCCGCGUGCGGGAUGACGGCCUUCGGGUUGUAAACCGCUUUCGCCUGUGACGAAGCGUGAGUGACGGUAAUGGGUAAAGAAGCACCGGCUAACUACGUG